rnacentral:lncRNA from 1 species
UGUAUUACCGAGUGGGUCCCGAGAUACCUGUCCGUCACACGGAGUGACAAAUCCCAGUCUUGAUCCAUACAAACUCAACGGACACCUUCGGAGAUACCUGUAGAACACCUUUAUGGUCACCCAGUUACGUUGUGACAUUCGAUGCACACAAGGUAUUCCUCCGGUGCCAGUGAGUUAUACGAUCUCAUGGUCAUAGGAACAAAUACUUGACAUGCAGAAAACAAUAGCAAUAAAACGACACGUUCAAUAUGUUAUGU